rnacentral:rRNA from 1 species
GACGAACGCUGGCGGCGUGCUUAACACAUGCAAGUCGAACGGUGAAGCGCCUUCCUUUUUGGUGGGUGGGGAUGAGGGGCGAACGGGUGAGUAACACGUGAGCAACCUGCCCCCUUCUUCUGGAUAACCGCAUGAAAGAGUGGCUAAUACGGGAUACUCUGGGUCUGUCGCAGGAUGGGUCUGGGAAAGAUAUUGUGUCGGUGGGGGAUGGGCUCGCGGCCUAUCAGCUUGUUGGUGGGGUGAUGGCCUACCAAGGCGGUGGCGGGUAGCCGGCCUGAGAGGGUGCACGGCCGCACUGGGACUGAGCCACGGCCCGGACUCGUACGGGAGGCAGCAGUGAGGAGUAGUGCACGAUGGGCGUAAGGCUGAUGCGGCGGCGGCGCGUGAGAGAUGGAGGGCUGCGGGUUGUGCACCUCUUUCGCCAGUGAAGCAGUCCUGCCUCGUUUGUGGGUGGGUUGACGGUAGCUGGAGAAGAAGCGCCGGCUAACUACGUG